rnacentral:rRNA from 1 species
UACGUAGGGUGCGAGCGUUAAUCGGAAUUACUGGGCGUAAAGCGUGCGCAGGCGGUUGGUUAAGUCUGAUGGGAAAGCCCCGGGCUCAACUUGGGAAUGGCAUUGGAAACUGGCUGGCUAGAGUGUGGCAGAGGGGGGUGGAAUUCCGCGUGUAGCAGUGAAAUGCGUAGAGAUGCGGAGGAACACCGAUGGCGAAGGCAGCCCCCUGGGCUAGCACUGACGCUCAGGCACGAAAGCGUGGGGAGCAAACAGG